rnacentral:rRNA from 1 species
AGGGUUCGAUUCUGGCUCAGGAUGAACGCUGGCGGCGUGCUUAACACAUGCAAGUCGAACGGACAGAGGGAGCUUGCUCCCAAAGUUAGUGGCGGACGGGUGAGUAACGCGUGGGUAACCUGCCCUAUGCAGGGGGAUAACAUUUGGAAACAAAUGCUAAUACCGCAUAACCUAAGAGUUUCGCAUGAAACACUUAGCAAAGAUUUAUCGGCAUAGGAUGGACCCGCGUUGGAUUAGCUAGUUGGUGAGAUAAUAGCCCACCAAGGCAACGAUCCAUAGCCGGCCUGAGAGGGUGAACGGCCACACUGGGACUGAGACACGGCCCAGACUCCUACGGGAGGCAGCAGUGGGGAAUAUUGCACAAUGGGCGCAAGCCUGAUGCAGCGAACCGCCGCGUGAAGGAUGAAUGUCUUCGGAUUGUAAACUUCUAUCAGCAGGGAAGAAUACCAUGACGGUACCUGACUAAGAAGCCCCGGCUAACUACGUGCCAGCAGCGGC